GAGUUUGAUCAUGGCUCAGGAUGAACGCUAGCGGCAGGCCUAACACAUGCAAGUCGAGGGGUAGAGGAAGCUUGCUUCCUUGAGACCGGCGCACGGGUGCGUAACGCGUAUGCAAUCUACCUUGUACAAAGGGAUAGCCCAGAGAGAUUUGGAUUAAUACCUCAUAGUGUUAUGAUGUGGCAUCACAUUAUAACUAAAGUUCCAACGGUACAAGAUGAGCAUGCGUCCCAUUAGCUAGUUGGUGUGGUAACGGCAUACCAAGGCAAUGAUGGGUAGGGGUCCUGAGAGGGAGAUCCCCCACACUGGUACUGAGACACGGACCAGACUCCUACGGGAGGCAGCAGUGAGGAAUAUUGGUCAAUGGGCGCAAGCCUGAACCAGCGACGCCGCGUGAGUGAUGAAGGCCUUCGG
rnacentral:rRNA from 1 species